rnacentral:rRNA from 1 species
AGCUGUGGAUAGGGGUGAAAGGCUAAACAAACUUGGAAAUAGCUGGUUCUCUCCGAAAACUAUUUAGGUAGUGCCUCAAGUAUUACCGUUGGGGGUAGAGCACUGUUUUGGCUAGGGGGUCAUGGCGACUUACCAAACCAAGGCAAACUCCGAAUACCGACGAGUACAGCUUGGGAGACAGAGCACCGGGUGCUAACGUCCGGACUCAAGAGGGAAACAACCCAGACCGCCAGCUAAGGUCCCUAAAAUUGGCUAAGUGGGAAACGAAGUGGGAAGGCUAAAACAGUCAGGAUGUUGGCUUAGAAGCAGCCAUCAUUUAAAGAAAGCGUAAUAGCUCACUGAUCGAGUCGUCCUGCGCGGAAGAUGUAACGGGGCUAAGCCAGUUACCGAAGCUGCGGAUUUGCAAUUUAUUGCAAGUGGUAGGAGAGCGUUCUGUAAGCCUGUGAAGGUGCGUUGAGAAGCGUGCUGGAGGUAUCAGAAGUGCGAAUGCUGACAUGAGUAGCGUUAAAGGGGGUGAAAAGCCCCCUCGCCGUAAGCGCAAGGUUUUCUACGCAACGUUCAUCGGCGUAGAGUGAGUCGGUCCCUAAGGCGAGGCAGAGAUGCGUAGUUGAUGGGAAACAGGUCAAUAUUCCUGUACCGAUGUGUAGUGCGAUGUGGGGACGGAGAAGGUUAGCUCAGCCAACUGUUGGAUAUGUUGGUUCAAGCCUGUAGUCGUGCCUGGUAGGUAAAUCCGCCGGGCUUAGAUGAGGGGUGAUAACGAGUCUGCUUGCAGACGAAGUGAGUGAUACCCUGCUUCCAGGAAAAGCCACUAAGCUUCAGCUACACACGACCGUACCGCAAACCGACACUGGUGCGCGAGAUGAGUAUUCUAAGGCGCUUGAGAGAACUCUGGAGAAGGAACUCGGCAAAUUGACACCGUAACUUCGGAAGAAGGUGUGCCUUUAGUAGGUGAAGUCCCUCGCGGAUGGAGCCCAAUGAGGUUGCAAAAAAUCGGUGGCUGCGACUGUUUAUUAAAAACACAGCACUCUGCAAACACGAAAGUGGACGUAUAGGGUGUGACGCCUGCCCGGUGCUGGAAGAUUAAAUGAUGGGGUGCAAGCUCUUGAUUGAAGUCCCAGUAAACGGCGGCCGUAACUAUAACGGUCCUAAGGUAGCGAAAUUCCUUGUCGGGUAAGUUCCGACCU